CCUACGGGAGGCUGCAGUGGGGAAUAUUGGACAAUGGGGGCAACCCUGAUCCAGCCAUGCCGCGUGUGUGAAGAAGGCCCUCGGGUUGUAAAGCACUUUCAGUGAGGAAGAACGCCUGGUGGUUAAUACCCAUCAGGAAAGACAUCACUCACAGAAGAAGCACCGGCUAACUCCGUGCCAGCAGCCGCGGUAAUACGGAGGGUGCGAGCGUUAAUCGGAAUUACUGGGCGUAAAGCGCGCGUAGGUGGCUUGAUAAGCCGGUUGUGAAAGCCCCGGGCUCAACCUGGGAACGGCAUCCGGAACUGUCAAGCUAGAGUGCAGGAGAGGAAGGUAGACUUCCCGGUGUAGCGGUGAAAUGCGUAGAGAUCGGGAGGAAUACCAGUGGCGAAGGCGGCCUUCUGGACUGACACUGACACUGAGGUGCGAAAGCGUGGGUAGCAAACAGGAUUAGAUACCCCUGUAGUC
rnacentral:rRNA from 1 species